CAGGCCUAACACAUGCAAGUCGAGCGGAUCUUACCUUCGGGUAAGGUUAGCGGCGGACGGGUGAGUAACACGUAGGCAACCUGCCCACAAGACCGGGAUAACAUUCGGAAACGAAUGCUAAGACCGGAUACGCAAUCCUGUCGCAUGACGGGCUUGGGAGACACGGUGUAAGCUGUGGCUUGUGGAUGGGCCUGCGGCGCAUUAGCUAGUUGGUGAGGUAACGGCCCACCAAGGCGACGAUGCGUAGCCGACCUGAGAGGGCGACCGGCCACACUGGGACUGAGACACGGCCCAGACUCCUACGGGAGGCAGCAGUAGGGAAUCUUCCACAAUGGACGCAAGUCUGAUGGAGCAACGCCGCGUGAGUGAGGAAGGCCUUCGGGUCGUAAAGCUCUGCUGCCAGGGAAGAAUAAGGGUGAGUUAACUGCUCACCCGAUGACGGUACCUGAGAAGAAAGCCCCGGCUAACUACGUGCCAGCAGCCGCGGUAAU
rnacentral:rRNA from 1 species